rnacentral:tRNA from 1 species
GGACGCUUAGCUCAGCUGGGAGAGCAUCUGCCUUACAAGCAGGGGGUCAUAGGUUCGAGCCCUAUAGGUCCCA